UACGGGGGGGGUAAGCGUUGUUCGGAAUUACUGGGCGGAAAGGGCGCGUAGGCGGCGGAGUAAGCGUGCGGUGAAAGCUCGGGGCUCAACCCCGAGUCGGCCGUGCGAACUGCUCUCGCUCGAGCAUUGUAGAGGUCGAUGGAAUUCCGGGUGUAGCGGUGGAAUGCGUAGAGAUCCGGAAGAACACCGGUGGCGAAGGCGGUCGACUGGGCAAUGGCUGACGCUGAGGCGCGACAGCGUGGGGAGCAAACAGG
rnacentral:rRNA from 1 species